GUGGGGAAUAUUGGACAAUGGGCGAAAGCCUGAUCCAGCCAUGCCGCGUGUGUGAAGAAGGUCUUCGGAUUGUAAAGCACUUUAAGUUGGGAGGAAGGGCAGUAAGUUAAUACCUUGCUGUUUUGACGUUACCGACAGAAUAAGCACCGGCUAACUUCGUGCCAGCAGCCGCGGUAAUACGAAGGGUGCAAGCGUUAAUCGGAAUUACUGGGCGUAAAGCGUGCGCAGGCGGUUAUAUAAGACAGAUGUGAAAUCCCCGGGCUCAACCUGGGAACUGCCUCCAAAACUGCAUGACUAGAGUACGGUAGAGGGUAGUGGAAUUUCCUGUGUAGCGGUGAAAUGCGUAGAUAUAGGAAGGAACACCAGUGGCGAAGGCGACUACCUGGACUGAUACUGACACUGAGGUGCGAAAGCGUGGGGAGCAAACAGGAUUAGAAACCCUAGUAGUCC
rnacentral:rRNA from 1 species